rnacentral:lncRNA from 1 species
CCACAGAAGAUUCCUUGAUGCAAAAUAAGCCAAUUGGAGGCUCUCUCCAGAAUGUUUCAGGCUUAAGCUGCUAGGAGGGCAUUUACUUUCCUCUCUAAGAAUGCACUAAAGAUCAGAGGUCAGAGGGUCUUGGAAGCCAUGGUUCUUUCUUACUGGAGAAGUCAUUCUGGAAUGAUGAAGCCAACUGAGAAAGAAGAGCGAAGACAACAUUUAGGAGAAGAGAAUCUUGGACAGGACAAUGGAGGCAGCCCUCAAAAUGGUGAGUCGGAGAAAUGGCUGCAGCCAACACAAGGAGGCACUGUGGGGCAGAAAGUGGAAUUCUCCAGUAGAUGGCACUAGGAUACAUGUGUGGCACCAAUGGGCACUGUUACCAAGACAGGAACAGCUUUCACACCUUUGUAGGCAAGGUCCGAUAUGGAGUACCAUAUGGGCUAAAAUUGGGUACCUUUUCUGUAGGCUAAAGAAGACUGUCAUAAGACCUGAGCCACUGGUUGAGAUUAUGAGCUUGAAAAGGAAGAGAAAGGCAAGAAAAAUGUUGUCAACUUGUACUCUGGGCACUUGGAAAAAAUACUCUGGUUAUUUACAAAUGGACUAUUUGGUAGCAUGGUAAAGGUUAACUUUGGUGCUCUGAAACCAGAUGGAAGAUGUGAAAUCUCCUUCUAGAGAAAAAAUGAACUAGAUGAUUUCUCUGGUUUUCUGAUCUCUAAUUAAUAGUAGCUGAAAGGAGAAAUCAUAACCCACGCAGAAGGGAAGAAAAGAAAAAUAAUGCAUUACCUUCAAAAGUAAAAUUCCAUUUAGUAAAUUUCCUAAGCAGAUUUCUGUCCUAUCAGGCCUCAGUCUUUGUGUUUUUCCUUUGUGUUGAGGAAUGUCGGGAACUGAGUUGGUAAUAAAUUAACAGCAAUAAUAAAUGCUAACA